rnacentral:sRNA from 1 species
UACGUCAUAGUAUUAAUAUUUAACAUAUGUAUUGCAUUGUGAUUCUGAUUUUUCAUUAUUUUCUCUCUGACACUUCACAUAAAAUAUUCUGUUCUUUCUUCUUUCUGACAGAUGAAAAUAGAUGUUUAAAAGCAAAUGCCAAAUCAUGUGGAGAAUGUAUACAAGCAGGGCCAAAUUGUGGGUGGUGCACAAAUUCAACAUUUUUACAGGAAGGAAUGCCUACUUCUGCACGAUGUGAUGAUUUAGAAGCCUUAAAAAAGAAGGGUUGUCCUCUAGAUGACAUAGAAAAUCCCAGAGGCUCCAAAGAUAU